rnacentral:tRNA from 1 species
GCUCCCAUAGUUUAAUGGAUAGAACGCAAGAUUGCGGAUCUUGUGAUCCAGGUUCGACUCCUGGUGGGAGCA